rnacentral:rRNA from 1 species
ACGCUGAAGAGAGGAGCUUGCUCUUCUUGGAUGAAUUGCGACCGGGUGAAGAACGCGUACGGUAACCUGCCUCUGUCCCGGGGGAUAACUAUUUGGAAACGAUAGCUAAUACCGCAUAACAAUGGAUGACACUGUUAUUUAUUUGAGAGGGGCAAUUGCUCCACUACAAGAUGGACCUGCGUUGUAUUAGCUAGUAGGUAAGGUAA